GACGAACGCUGGCGGCGUGCUUAACACAUGCAAGUCGAACGGAAAGGCCCUGCUUUUGUGGGGUGCUCGAGUGGCGAACGGGUGUGUAACACGUGAGUAACCUGCCCUUGACUUUGGGAUAACUUCAGGAAACUGGGGCUAAUACCGGAUAGGAGCUCCUGCUGCAUGGUGGGGGUUGGAAAGUUUCGGCGGUUGGGGAUGGACUCGCGGCUUAUCAGCUUGUUGGUGGGGUAGUGGCUUACCAAGGCUUUGACGGGUAGCCGGCCUGAGAGGGUGACCGGCCACAUUGGGACUGAGAUACGGCCCAGACGCCUACGGGAGGCAGAAGUGGGGAAUAUUGCACAAUGGGCGGAAGCCUGAUGCAGCAACGCCGCGUGCGGGAUGACGGCCUUCGGGUUGUAAACCGCUUUCGCCUGUGACGAAGCGUGAGUGACGGUAAUGGGUAAAGAAGCACCGGCUAACUACGUG
rnacentral:rRNA from 1 species